CCUACGGGAGGCAGCAGUGGGGAAUAUUGCACAAUGGGGGAAACCCUGAUGCAGCGACGCCGCGUGAGUGAAGAAGUAAUUCGUUAUGGAAAGCUCUAUCAGCAGGGAAGAAAAUGCCGGUACCUGAGUAAGAAGCCCCGUCUAACUACGUGCCAGCAGCCGCGGUAAUACGUAGGGGGCAAGCGUUAUCCGGAUUUACUGGGUGUAAAGGGAGCGUAGACGGCAGUGCAAGUCUGGAGUGAAAGGCGGGGGCUCAACCCCCGGACUGCUCUGGAAACUGUACGGCUGGAGUGCAGGAGAGGUAAGUGGAAUUCCUAGUGUAGCGGUGAAAUGCGUAGAGAUUAGGAGGAACACCAGUGGCGAAGGCGGCUUACUGGACUGUAACUGACGUUGAGGCUCGAAAGCGUGGGGAGCAAACAGGAUUAGAUACCCCAGUAGUC
rnacentral:rRNA from 1 species